rnacentral:misc_RNA from 1 species
UCUCCGUAGGUGAACCUGCGGAGGGAUCAUUACAGAGUUCUCGCCCUCGCGGGUAGAUCUCCCACCCACUGUUAUCGUUACUGUGUUGCUUUGGCGGGCCGCCGGGCCCCGCUCGGCCGCCGGCUCCGGCUGGCGCGCGCCCGCCAGAGGCCCAGCAAACUCUGAAUGCUAGUGUCGUCUGAGUACUAUAUAAUAGUUAAAACUUUCAACAACGGAUCUCUUGGUUCUG